GAUUGUGUUUCUCGUUGUGAUCGGACGUGCUUUUCUUUCGCUCUUCGAUUGCGUGUUGUUUUUUUGCGAUUUAAAGACUUUUACAGAGAAGAUUGAAGAUUUUUUAGGUAAAUCUUAGUCCGUAUUGAUCCUAGACGUAAGAAUUUAUUUAAUAUUACUUGGAGAAUCGGUCCCAGAAGACAUCUCGGCACAUCGUUCGAUGGUCGACCGUUUGCGCAUUGGAUUCGAAUCUUUUAGAUUUAAAAAGGCGGCUGCGGAUGAAGACGUUGGUGCGUUGUUGGAGGCGGUUCCGGCGGUGGCGCCGGAGGGAGAGAGUUUCUCGGACGACGCGGAACGAGUCUGUCGUUCCGUGCCAUUGGAGGAGCGGGUGUUCGACGAGCGACAGGCAACGGGUGAAGAAGACCUUAGCCAAGUACGCGUGGCGUGGCAUUCUCCCGGAGUCGGGAAGAUGCGACGCUACACUCUGGGUCCAGUGCGCUUGGCCGAGGUCUUCGGGGGGUCAUCCGGCCACAGACCUUGCUGUGGAGGAUGUUGAAAGUGACAGCUCGUCCGAGCUGACACUUUCUGUUUGGUCGCGUUCUGCCCGUUCGUCCUCGACGGCGACGCCACCGCCGAAGUCGAGGGACCGUGCUGUCGUGGUUUUGUUGCUGCGGACGGCUGCGGUUGCCUUGGCCUAGGCGGUGAUCUUCUUCGAUUUCCUCUUCUUCACCGAAUGCGACUUUCUUACCGGAUUCGACACUUUUCACCCGGACAUGACAUCUUUUAACGGACGUGACCUCUUUUACCCGGACGUGACCCACGGACUUGACACGUUUCUUCACCGGACGCGACAUUCGGCCGACCUUUCUUCCCAAACAGCUGUUAUGAGGAUUGAGCUUCCGGUUAGGGUUCGUUAGGUUAGCCUAGGCUAGGUCAGGUCCUUCGCUUUUCUUAUAUCACUGUUCGGGAAGAAAGCUGUCUGAUUAAGGAAUAUUUGGGAGGGAGAAGAAUCUCCGUCCCCAACUUUACCACGAAGAGAACCAAGUGGCCAUUUAUCGUACAAGUGAAUAUUUUCCGAUGACAUGCCGAAGAUGUUUUUCGAUCACACACAUACACACACACGCACGGACAUAACACUACUGUGCACGAAGAUAUACACCGUUUAACCUUUACUCGAAUUCUCGCACUCACGCACUUACACGUCAAGUGCCUCGUUCGUAAUUCGACACAAUGAAACAACCCGAACAUAAGCUUUCCACAAAUCCAAUCCCUGGAUCCUCGUCCCGGGAAGUGGAAACGCCAAUUUUAAAGAUUAAAAGGUUUUAAAUUGGCGGCCGAAGGGGCUCUGGUAAUCACACAUCUUGCAUCGAUUAAAUGGAAUUUCAGACAUUAGCAUCAAUAAUCGUUUGGUAAUGAAUUGGGAAGGUGACGAAUCCUGUACCAAGUAUUAAACAUUGUUUUUCCCACUAUGUUUUGUUUUUG